GGAGAAGUUGUUGCUGGACAUAUCAAAGGCCCUUUUGAGAGUGGACAUGAGAUGGGGAGGGAGGCCAUUGGUGGUAUGGUAGUGAGGUGGGAGUUCAGGCAAGUCAUCAUGUGGAAGAUGGAGUUCCACAAAUUCAAUGCAAUGAGAAUAUUUUUGGGAGAGUUUAGGCUUGAUGGAGCUGAGAUUUACAGGCGUGGAACAAAUAAAGAUGUGAAAAUUUCUCUUGGUGGUCAGCUUCUUGGCUAGCUCUAGGUAGGGAGAUAUAUGGCCGUGAGCUAGCCAUGGAAGCAUAAGAAUAGUAAGUUUUCUUUGGUCAGAGUAAACCAUAUUUUGUUUUCCUUUCACUCUUUUGCUUGAGGUUGCUCGAUUAUAGGCUUAUUGGUAGUUUUUUUGUAGCUAGCUCUAUGCAUAUAUAUAUAUAUAUACACACACAUUCAUGGGAAAAGAGGCUUGGGGAUGGGAAAUCAAUUGAUUUCCUAUGUUUGGUAAAGUUCGGGUAUGAGAAAUCGUUGCUUUGCACAUGAGAAAGUAGAGGGGAAAGUGAAGCCCUCCUCCUUCCUUAGGUUUUGUUUUCCUCCUCAUGGGAAAGUUUGGGAAAAUGAGCUAAUAUUAAAUACAUAUUUUUCAUGACCAUAUUAUCCCCAUUAAUAAUUUAGAAUUACAUAAAUGCAUUCUAUUUUUAUUUGAUUUCAUAUGGGUAUAAUUGAAAAAUUAAACAAAUUUUGUUUUACAUUCCUACACAAACCAAACAUGUGAAAGGAAAUAAAGUGGUAUUUCUUGGUUACUUUCCCAAGAUUACCAAACAUAGGAAAGGAAUCUCUAUUUCCCAUCCCUUAGAAAAUGACUUGGAAAGUAAUUUCUCCUCAAAUUCGUUCCGUGAACCAAACGGAACCUGCAUAAUAGAAGUUCCAAAAAAACACGUGAUGAUUGGAUCAUGCAUAUGUAAGUUCCCGAGUGAUGAUUGGAACAAGUUCCUAAUGAUAAAGACUCGAAACAAGAAUAGUUUAAACUUUCUUCUUUGUUUGGCUUGAUAUAAGACGAAUGCACCAAACAAACCGACUAAUUGCUGGCACAAUAUAAAUUGGGGCUACAAUUACCUAAUAAUUAGGUACUAAGGGCUACAAUUACCUAAUAAUAUCAACUUUCAUUAUACAGAUUUGAGAAACAAAAAGUUCAACUUUGAUGACAAGCGAUAUUAAAGGAGGGCGUAAUCAAACUUAGGAUCUUGAGUGUAGAAAUAAAUACUUUUAACAACUUGAGCUACAAGCCUUUUGUAAUAUUAAUGAUAUUUUAAUUAUACGUUUGAAUAGUUCGCUUCCUUCUCUUUUAUUUUCAUUUGUUUAUAUUUAACUCUAAUUUUAUUUAUAUUUUUGGUCAAGGUAAAAAGACUUUGAAUCUCUCUCCAAUGAUUUUCACAGCCGAAACUCCUUUAGUUUCCACAAAUAUUUUUUAAUAUUUCAUGCAUUUGUAAGUUUCCGACUCGGAUGGUUCAUGUAACCAAGAAGUUUAAACUUGUUUUUGCUUGUUCCGCCGACGAAAGCGCAACAAAAGGACAAACUACAACCAAUACUUCUAGUAUCACCAGUUCUCAUUGAAUUUGUUGCCGUGAAUGUUUAGGAUUCUGCCCAAACUAGUAUUUGCGUUUCUGAAUUGUUUGAAAACACAUAUGAAAUUAUGAUUUCUCCUCCCCAGAAGACAAAUUGACGAAGAAGUAUCAUGAUUUUGAUGACACAAAUUAGAAUCCAGGGUUUUCGAAGUGCCUAAUGGACAACUAUUAAUUUAGAAAUAUAUAUAUUUUUUUCGCAAUGCAGAAACACAUAAAUCCCAAGUUUGAAUUCAUCCUAUUUUUGUUUUUGUUUUUUCCUUUUUUAACCCAGAAGAAAAAUUGAGUGCCACUCUGCUAUGUAGAAUGCAAGUUUUAGUUUAGAUUUUUUUUUCUUUUUAGUCUCUUAUUCUACAUUUAGAUCUCAUAUAUUUACUCGCAUUUUAUUAAAUCUAAGUCAUUCAAACAAUCUGACCACUUAACAAAUUACAAGUACUCAAACUUAAAAUCAGAUUGGAUGGACAUGAGGCUUACACUGAUGAUUCUACACGUGCUGAGAAUAGUCCUUUUAUUUCUUUAUUAUUUUCUUGGUCGGGACUCGAGAGACAGGUGUAGUGUAGCGAUGGAGACGAGGCCCGCAAGACAUAAAAGUCUGAAGAAGAGAAGCGUGAAAGCUUCAUUUAGACAGUUAAGUGCAUACGUAACGUAAAGAUUCAAAGACUAUGUCCCUCUCCAAACAGGGAAAGAUCUGAGUUGAAAGCAACAAACUACAGUCACAAUAGGAAAGCAUCUACAACGUAAAGAAAAUAAGUUUACCAGAAGCAUCGGAAAGAUCUAGAGUCUGAAGAAGAGAUACUGAAGUAAUUGUUCAUCGACUGAGCUUAAAUGAAAUAUUAACUCUUUGUUGUGCCAUAAGCACAAGAUCUUAAGAAAAAAAUUCAAGAUAAACCAUAUAAUAUUUUCUAACCCACAAAAUAAUAUAGAAAAUAAAUGCAAGAACAAGAGAAUAGCAAGACACAACGAGGCUGCUUACAAUCAGUGUAAAUGAGCAAACAAAUUCACCAUCAACAAAUUAGCAUGCUUAUGAAGUGUUUUGCAACCUCACAAACCAAGGCGCCAUAUACACCAAAUGACUCUCACUGAAAAACUAAACAAAGAAACACACUCACACUAAUGAAAGCAACGUUACAAGGUAGGAGAUUGAAUAUUACAUUUACAAUACACUCAUAAGUUACAAAAACUAAUUACAAAUAUUUAGCGCAUAGGUUACAUAGAACUGAAAGGGUGGAAUGAUAAGAGCUAUGGUGGUCAUCCACCAACUCAUGCAUUUACAACACCGCCUCUUGAAUGUCCACCAUACAAUACAAUGAUAUAGUUGCGUCAUUAAACACUUUGCUUGAAAAACUAUAUGGGACAAAACUUAGGCUACGGGAAAAAGAGUGCAACACAAAUAAUAUUGAUAUCACAUUUGUCUCUCCUACGGAAUGAGCUUUGGUGAUGUUUGUAUAAAAAUUGCGUACAAACCAUUAUUGGAAGAUUGGGCUAGAGUGGGCUUUACCCUAGUGUUGACUUUGGAAAGAGACAAAUUAGGCUUAGUUGUGUAAAUUCAAUCCAAAAAAAAAUUAAAUAAUAGCCCACAUCUACAGCCAAAUACUUUAAUACUUUAAUUACUAAAGUUUUUUUUUCUUUCUCUCUCUUCUUUGGUUUAUUCAGCUUUUGAUUUGGCUCAAAUAAUGUUUAUAUCUCUCUUUGAUUUUGUUUUUUCAAAUUUAUUGAUGUUGCUUCUUUUGAAAAUUUUGAAAUAUGGACCCUCCCUAACUAAACCACUCCAUUGAGCAAAAGCCCUUGAGCUUCAAAUUUAUCUUCGUCUGAGCCUCUGAAUUUUGGUUUUUUUUAGGUUUUUUUUGUUUGUUGUAGGUUUCUUUGUUCACAUAUCUCUCUAAAAAUAGUAUUUUUCUUAAUGAAUUCUGAAAAUAGUUUUUAAUUUGAAGGAAAUAUACGGAAUUAGUAAAAAAGUAUACCACUUUCAUUAAUCUGAAGGAAAUAUUGCUUUAUAUAUAUUUGUUUAAAAAUAGGGCUUAUAAUUGAUCUCAAAAAAAAAAAAAAAACAAAUAGCCCACCCCUGUAAAUAUUCCUUAGUCCGCCAUUGCAUGGCAUAAUAUUUGGUAUGCUAUGCUAGCAUCUCAUAAGCUCUUCAAGAGACCUGAAUUUUAUGAUAACUUCUUAAAAAAUUUGAAUACAUUUCAACGAUAUUAAACUUGAAUUUGAACUCAUAAUUCAAUCAAAGUACUCAUUGAGGCAAUUUAGAUCAUUUUCAUUUUAAAAAAAUUGGGUGCACACAUUGAGCUUCAUGCUCUUUACCUUCUUAGAGAUUUUAUUUGAGGAAUUUAUAUUGCAUCACAUAUUACAUCUCUUAGGAUUUGUUCUUAUUAUGUAUUCUUUAAGAGAUCUAUUCUUGCAAUAUGCUUCAAACACUUCAUAAUCUUUAUGAAUUUUUCAUGUAGAUUUAAGGUCUCCAUGAAUAUUGAGAUUGAAACAAGGAGUAAAAGAGUUAAAAGUUUAAGAAAUUUUUUCCCUGAUUAUUUUGUAAUUAUAAUGUUGGUGAAAAUCCAAUUUCCUUUCUAGAAUUUGUGAAAUUUGUUAUUUGGCUAAGCUAAAAGUAUAAUUUUGACAAUAAAAAGCAUAUGAAAGUUUCUCUUUGGUUGGCUUCUUGGCUAGCUCUAGGAACGGACAGUGUGGCCAUGAGAUAACCAUGGAAGUAUAAUAAGAAUGCUUGGAUGCUGUGAACAAUCCAUUUUCUGACUCUUUUUCUUGAGGUGGUUGUUUUCUUAUGGCCCAUCAGAGUUUAUGGUCGACAGAUAAGCUUCAAACACAUGCAUUGGUCGUGUCAGUUGCGAUAAACUCUUCCCAACAAUCAACAAUUUCUAAGGUAAUAUCAUCAUUCAAUCAUGUGCUGAAUUUAGAAUUGUUUUCAAAUCAAGGAUUUGUUUUGGAACUCAGAUUUUAAAACAAUUAAAAUUUAAUUGGGAAGACUUUUUGUUUAAAGGAAGUUCGUUUCAAUUCAAAAAAUAAUUUUUCAGUUUUUCAACUCAAAAGUCUUCUCAGUUUUCUUAUUUUUCUUAUUGGCGAGUUUCUUGGUUAACUCUAGGAAGGGAGAUAUGUGGCCAUGAGCUAACCAUGGAAGCAUAAGAACGCUGACCAUGCUUGGAUUUUGAGAAGACUUCCUCUUUUUUUUUUCCCUGACUCUUCUUCUUGAGGCGGUGGUUGGCUUAUGGCCUCAUAAUAGUUUGGUGUUUUUGGAGAUCAUAUGGUGAUGAUCUGAUGGAGAUGAGUCAUAGUUUGUGCUAGUGCAUACGUAAUUCCAAUUUCCUGAUUCAGAUGGGAUAAACUCUUCCAACAAAUUAAGACUCUUAUCAUGCAUACACAUAAGAAGUGGAAAUUUGCUUCUGUCUUAGUUUGGCCUUGAUAUAGGACAGCUCAUAGGAAAGCAUCCAAAACAAUAUUCUUUUUAUUUUUUUUAUUUGAAUACAAGCGAUAUUAGGAGUGUGGGGAUUUGAACACAUGAUUUAGGGUACAGGGUAAUGCUCUUAACUAUAUGAGUUACAAGUCCCUUGCAAACAGUCUGAAAUACUAAAAAUAAAAAAUAGAUGCUCAUCCAUAUGCACUGUCAUGCCCCAACCCUUGGAUUUACAAAACCUUGUGUUAAGACGUGAUUCACACCUUAAUUAUAGAAUUUAAUAAAAACUAUAACUAAAAUGUGAAGAAAACAUUUAAAUAAAUAAAAUAAAUAUUUCACAUAGAAUAUUCAGUGGAAAUGACAACAUGUGAAAUCUUAAAAAUUUUACAUUAUCUUACAAGUUGGCGUGACUUGUGGAUAUUGACUUACUUUCCUUACACACCAAGAAUUCCUAUUAUAAUUGUAAUUGAUUUACUUUAAUUCAUGAUUUCCUACUGUAAAUAGAUUUAAGAAUUUAUUAUUUACUUGCCCAUUCAGGUUUCGUUGUAUUAUAAAUAUGACCUCCUACAAGGAGAAGAACAUACAGAAAAUUCCCACAAACAAAUAUUCUCUCAUAGUUUUCAUAUUUUAGCAUGGUAUCAGAGCGGCAAUCUUGGAAUUGCUGACUCUAGUUUCAAACCCCCGCCGCCGCUAUGGGGGUUGAUGAUUUUUUCAACCAUCAUGGAGGUAGCACCAUCGACUCCUUCUCUCAUUCUCAACUAACCAUCGUUGAGUUGAGUGCCCAGAUGGCUCCGCUCCUACAGAUGCAGACUUUGACCCCAAACCCGAUCCAGAAUCAGGAUCUUCUUUCGACAACCACGACCCCGAUCUCGACUAUGACAACGACGACCCCGACCCCUACUCUGAAGAUGACCCCGACCCCCACUCCGAUGACCCCAACCCCGAAUUUGUCUCUGAUUCAGAACCCGAUCCCGAUUUCGACUCCGACUCCGGCCUCGACUCAGGCUCAGAUUUCGAUCCAAAUUCCUACUCAACUUAUAUCCUAUGCAUCUUCCGCUGCACAGAUUAUGACUUCUAGACUAACGACCCCGACAUAUGGACCAGAUUGCACAUAUUGUGGUGAUCCGAGACACACUUGUGAGACUUGUUUUAAAUCGCAUGGCUACCCCGAUUGGUGGGCUAUUCUUACAGAUCAAGGACAAUGCACCAGUAAUGGUACUGGUUAUGGAUUCCAUACUUCCGAUAAGAUUGAUUCCAGGAGCUGGAUAAUUGAUUCUGGUGCAACUGAUCAUAUGACGUUUGAUCCUGAUGAUUUUCUGAAUACUACACAACCUCGACGAACUUGUAUUGCAAAUGCCAAUGGUGUUACUUAUCCUGUGACAGGGGCUGGCACUGUUGCACUCUCAUCCUCUCUCACACUGUCUAAUACUUUACUUGUUCCAUUUUUAUCCACUAAAUUGUUGUUAGUUAGUCAGCUUACUAAACAAUUGAAGUGUUGUGUACUCAUUUACCUGAGUUUUUGUUUGCUUCAGGAUAUUCACACUAAGGAGAUUCUUGGUCGUGGUACUAAGAGAGGGGGGCUAUAUUAUGUCGAUGACUUCAGUUCCGGCGUGCCUAACAGUGUGACACAUCCCUUUGAUAGCAAACAAAAGCAAAUUUGGUUGUGGCACCUUCGAUUGGGACAUCCGUCUUUCAGUUAUAUGAAGCAUCUUAUACCAGAUUUAUUCUUAGGUUUCAAGGACUCCGACUUCACAUGUGAUACUUGUAUUUUGGCUAACAGUCACCGUGUGCCCUACCUGUUGAGUACGAACAAGUGUACUUGUAAGAUCCCACAUCAACCAACGGAGAGGGGGUGAUGUGCCUUAUAUAUGCACACCUGCAUCCAUCUAGCACGAGGCCUUUUGGGAGCUCACUGGCUUCGGAGUCGUAGGAACUCCGAAGUUAAGCGAGUUGGGGGCUAGAGCAAUCCCAGGAUGGGUGAUCCACUGGGAAGUUGCUCGUGAGCUCCUAGAAACAAAACCGUGAGGGCAGAGAGAGGGGCCCAAAGCGGACAAUAUCGUGCUACGGCGGAGUUGAUCCCGAGAUGUGACAAUUUGGUAUCAGAGCCACUCUGCCGUGUGGUGCGAAUGUGCCGACGAGGACUUCGGGCCCUUAAGGGGGGUGGAUUGUAAGAUCCCACAUCAACCAACGGAGAGGGGGUGAUGUGCCUUAUAUAUGCACACCUGCAUCCAUCUAGCAUGAGACCUUUUGGGAGCUCACUGGCUUCGGAGUUGUAGGAACUCCGACGUUAAGCGAGUUGGGGGCUAGAGCAAUCCCAGGAUGGGUGACCCACUGGGAAGUUGCUCGUGAGUUCCCAGAAACAAAACCGUGAGGGCCAGAGAGGGGGGCCCAAAGCUGAUAAUAUCGUGCUACGGCGGAGCCGAUCCCGGGAUGUGACAAUUGUACUACUCCAUUUACGUUAAUUCACUCUGAUGUCUUGGGACCUUCGCCUAUCACUGCUCCUUCUGGUGUUCGAUGGUUUGUCACAUUCAUCGAUGAUUGUAUACAGAUGACAUGGCUUUAUUUGCUGAAGAAUAAAAACGAAGUGUUUUCCCGUUUUCAGUCCUUCCACAAACAGAUGAAAACUCAGUUUAAUGCUCAAAUCCAGAUUCUUCGCUCAGACAAUGGUGGAGAAUUUGUCAAUCAUGACUUUCAGACUUACUUCCAACAACAUGGAAUUAUCCAUGAGACGACUUGUCCUCAGACACCACAACAAAAUUGUGUUGUUGAACGAAAGAAUUGACAUCUUCUUGAAACCGCCCAAGCACUUCUGAUUGGCGCUCAUGUUCCUCGCUAUCACUGGGAUGAUGCUAUUGUCACCGCAGUUCACCUGAUCAACCGCAUGCCUUCUGGUGUAUUGACCUUUAAAACUCCCUUACAGGUGCUUGCGCAACACAGACCUCUGCUCUCUGUUUUGGUACUCACACCCCGAAUCUUUGGAUGUGUGGCUUUCGUUCAUCUCCACAAAAAUCAACGUAGCAAACUUGAUCCCUGUGCGCUUCGUUGUGUUUUUAUAGGUUAUGCCACUCAUCAGAAAGGCUACCGUUGUUAUCACCCUCCUACCCAACGAACCUAUGUCACUUUGGAUGUGACCUUUCUGGAAUCUGAGUUGUUCUUCCAUGACCCAUCAUCCAAUUCUACGCAUCAGGGGGGGAUACGAAGUGAAGAGCAGAAUUGAAGCAACUUGGGAAAUAAAGAAAUUUUCCUCUGUACAGAAAUGAUUAAUCAUCCUGAGUCUGGAGCACGAGAUUACUCUCUGUCGAAAAGCAACCAAUCGCCCAUUCAUAGCGAUCAAUUGCCUCACCUACCUGAUCCAUGUGAAGAUAUUUUUGAUCCGAGUCUCACACCUACAGACAAUACAGAACAACAAGAUGAAGACUCCCCCUCUAACUCAACAGUACCAACAGACCAAUCUCCUGAGAAUAUCCUUGAGGUAACUACUCCUACUAGAUUUGUGCAUUUAAAUGAUUAAACUAUUGGAUAUCAAUUACCUUUCAGGGAAAAUCGUGGGAAGCCAUCAAACCGUUAUGCACCUGAUAUUGGCAAGACAUCCAAGUAUCCAAUUGCAAAUCAUGUAUCCACUGAGAAGCUGUCUGAACAACUCAAGGCUUUUGUGCAUCAGUUGUCUGCGAUCCAUAUUCCAACCAAGGUCUCUGAAGCAUUAAAAUAUCCUAAGUGGGUCCAAGCUAUAAAAGAGGAGAUGAAAGCUCUUGAGAAAAAUCAGACUUGGACAUUAGAGACUAUACCUCGAGGAAAAAAGACUAUCAGAUGUAGAUGGGUGUUUACUAUAAAACACAAUGUAGAUGGAUCUAUCGAGCAAUACAAGGCAAGACUUGUGGAAAAAGGGUACACACAGACAUAUGGUAUAGACUAUGAAGAAACCUUUGCUCCAGUUGCAAAGUCAAACACCAUCAGAGUCUUAUUGUCCCUUGCAGCUAAUUUGGAUUGGCCACUACACCAGUUUGAUGUAAAGAAUGCUUUUCUACAUGGCGUACUCACGGAGGAGGUGUACAUUUACAUUCCUCCUGGAUAUAAUACUACUUAGACUGGAACAGUUUGCAGGUUACGAAAAGCAUUGUAUGGAUUGAAACAGUCACCACGUGCAUGGUUUGGACAGUUCACCAUGGCAAUGAAGAACAAUGGUUCAAACAGUGCAACUCAGAUCAUACUCUACUCUUGAAACAUCGAAAAGGGAAGGUAACAACAUUAAUAAUCUAUGUUGAUGAUAUGAUUAUUACUGGGAAUGAUAAACAGGAAAUAUCACAGCUACAAGACUAUCUGGCUACGGAGUUUGAGAUGAUGGAUCUAGGUGGACUCAAGUAUUUCUUGGGAAUUGAGGUGGCUCGAUCCCAGCAAGGCAUAUUUCUCUCUCAAAGGAAAUAUGUCUUGGACUUGUUGACAGACACAUGAAUGCUAGAUUGUAAACCUGCGAACACUCAUAUUGUUCAGAAUCAUCAUCUUGGAGAAUAUCAUGAUCAAGUUCCAACUAACAAAGAAAGAUACCAAAGGUUAGUAGGAAGAUUGAUCUAUUUGUCACAUACUUGACCAAACAUUACUUAUGCAAUGAGCGUUGUCAGUCAAUUUAUGCACUCUCCAAGUGAAGACCACACGAAUGCAGUUCUUCGGAUACUUAGAUAUUUGAAGUCUGCACCUGAAAAAGGACUUAUUUUCUGAAAGCAUGGUCAUAUAAAUAUUGAUGGUUAUUCAGAUGUAAUGUAACAGAUAGAAAAUCCACAUCCGGUUACUUAACAUUCAUGGGAGGUAAUUUGGUGACAUGGAGGAGCAAGAAACAGAAUGUAGUAGCUUUAUCCAGUGCAGAAGCCGAGUUCAGAGGCAUGACUAAAGGAAUUUGUGAACUUCUUUGGUUAAGAAAGUUGCUUACUGAACUUGGGUAUAAACCUACAUCCACAAUGAUUCUCUUUUGUGACAACAAGGCUGUUAUAGCCAUUGCACAGAAUCCGGUUCAGCAUGAUCGUACUAAACAUGUUGAGGAGGAUCGACACUUCAUCAAACAGAAGCUUGAGGCUAAAAUGUUUCAGUUUUCUUUUGUGAAAUCCGAGGAUCAAUUGGCGGAUAUUUUGACAAAGGUGAUUUCCAGUAAAACAUUCCACAAUUCACUGGAUCAGUUAGGCAUUGGCGAUAUCUAUGCACCAACGUGAGGGGAAGUGUUGGCGUGACUUGUGGAUAUUGACUUACUUUCCUUACACACCAAGAAUUCCUAUUAUAAUUGUAAUUGAUUUACUUUAAUUCCUGAUUUCCUAUUGUAAAUAGAUUUAGGAAUUUAUUAUUUACUUGCCCAUUCAGGUUUCGUUGUAUUAUAAAUAUGACCUCCUACAAGGAGAAUAACAUACAGAAAAUUCCCACAAACAAAUAUUCUCUUAUAGUUUUCAUAUUUUAGCAAGAACUACUCGAGAGUUUACUAAAAGAGUAGUUCAGUAUUCAUCCACAAGCUAUAUACACAAUACACUCUAUAGAUAUGCCAAAAUCAUCGCAAGCUCUAGAUUUUAGGUUCGAUACCUGCAAAAUCUAUUAGAAGGGUGAGUGAAACCACAGUUUAGUAGGGACAUAAACCUUUUCACGGUAAACUGAUAUAAUUAAAUUAAGUGAAAAAUAAUCACACAGCCAAAUAUCACAUUAUUAAUAACAAUGCAUGAAUGCUCUUCAUUUAACCCGUUAAUUCAUAUAAUUAGACAAGCUUCACGACCCAUACCAUGCUUAUACCACUUAGUCCCGAAUGCCAAUUUAUAUGAAUUAACGCCCAUUUCAAUCAUCCCAUAAUUCCCAUUUUGUUAGUCAUCUUGUCUAACUCCCUGUUGCCAGUCCUGAAUCACCAAAAAAAAAAAACCAUGUGCACUAUGGGAUCCCUGAGUACUAGUACCUGGCAAGAGUUAGACUCAACUACACAAAAGAUCAUUUCUAUUACCCUCUUAUCCACCAUUAUUUUCUCAACUUCAGAAUUCUAGCCAAAUUCCAUGACAUGAUAUAAUUAAAAUUAUGCCUUCACAACAAUGUGCCCAUUUAAAACAUCACUAAUGCACAUAUAAUUAUGCCCACAUUGUUCAAAUAGUUAAGAGUACGUAAAUACCCAAUACAUGGAACGUCAAUCAAACAGUACCACGCAUAAUAUAAUGCUCAAGAAAUUUAAUUAAAUCAAUCUCUGUAAAAGGCCCCUAAGAAACCCCUGCCUUGAUACUAAAGCUUUUGCUAGACCUAUAAGGUGUUUUCCAAUUUUCCACCGCAUUCACAAACUCUGUCUUCUACUUUUUUUCUUACUUCUCUCUACCACUAUUUCUUUCUCGUUUUCUUUGUUUUCACUUGUUGUGCAACUUAAUGUCCUAUAUAUAUACAAGGAACAAGUCGGCAGUAAGUGAUUUCCUAUUGGAUGGUGUAUUCGGUUGUUAUAAACUUACUAGUAAUAGUUAUCAAUGUAGUUGCAGAUGAGGAAGAAUGUUUUUGUGACUCUUCCAAUCCCUCUAAUCCUAUUUCUUAUCUUCUUGGUGAGUUGAUAGCCUCGAUACUUAACAGAUUUUAUACUUUGACACGUAUUAACAAGAACUAUUUUAAAAACAUAUACAUAUAUAUAUAUAUAAUAGAAUAUGUAUAUAUGUAAUACACAUAUUUAUAUAUAAUAAGAAUAAUAUAUAUGUAAUAAGAUAUAAAUAUUUAUUAGAACAGUAUAUAAAAUAAUAUAUAUCAUUCUUAUUAUAACAAUAAUUUUAAUUUUCCCAAAAUAAUAUAUAUUUAAAAAUAUGUGGUUUCACAUGCAUGUCCUUUUUGCUAUAGACACUAUUACAAAAAUCGAAAUAGACAACGGAAAACUACCGUCGUCUGGAAAGUUUUCAAACAGUCGUGAAAUCGACUGUCGUCUCUUUUACAUAAAACAACGACGGCUAUUAACCAACGUCGUUAAUACAUUCCACGUAAAAAACUAUUAUAAACCGACGUGUAAUUACUAUAUAUAUAGCCUAAAAUAAAAUCUUCAACAACCUUAGACGACGGUUUUAUUAAAACUGACACGUCUAAAGAGUGUUACAUGUCAAGAUCAAAACAAGAACCGACGUACAGAUAAUUAUCCACGUCCUAAUUGAAGUAAAAUAGACUUGGAUAACCUAGAAACCGUCGUGGUUAACAUAUACUACGUUAAAUUAACAAAGGCACUUACGUCUAAAAAGUAAAAGACAACACGCGCACAAAGCAACAGACGUUUAAAGCUUAGUACAUGUCAAUAGCCGCUCAAUAACCGCAGUAAAAUGAAUUAACCACGUCCCACAUAUGGCAGAACUGUUGCUUAUGUGAUUAUCCACGUCGCGGAGUAGUAGAACAAAGACGUUGUAACCAUAUUCCACGUCUGUUUCUUGUGAGAAUUGUCGUUUAAAUUAUACAAAGAAGCCCCUUUGACAGAGUUAGACGUUGCUCUUGCUGUAGAACCGACUUCUAACAGGUUUAAAAUGACACAAUAUUACUUAAUACUGCCGUAACAAAUCAUAUCCACGACUGCUGUUGUCAAAGACUGACGUUACAAAAAAUAUUGAAGGUGUUGACAAAAAAGAACCGACAUGGAUUAUGCAUUCAACGUCGUGUGGUCUAAAAAUAAAGGACGUGGUUAAUUUUUUCUCUACGUCAAGUGGAUCCAAUUGCCUGAUGUUGUAAUUCUUUACCAUGUUGGUUUUUAAUACAUGAUGAUGUGGUUGUCCUUUUAAAAGUCGCUUGUUUUACCCUCCUUGACGUGUGUAUGAUAUGAGACGUCAAUUGUUUUAGACUAGCUGACGUGCAGAAAAUCUGUCACGACAAUUAAUGCAACUGAAUUGCCUCUAUUUCCCCCAGACGACGGUAGGUUUUAAGUGUGGAAGUAGUGUUUUACAAAAUCGUAAGUUGGAGUAAUCUACCAUCGUGUUAUUCGAGAAUAUACCACGAUCUUUGUUUUGUACUCGGUCGCUGAUGUUUAUACUACUUAAUAAACUGACAUGUUUUCAGUUUCAGACGGCGGCUUUUGUUUCUUUAUGGUCUUUUGCAUUUUUUUUCCAUGACAUUUUUGAAAGCCUAAUGUUGGUUUUAUUUUAGAAAUCGAUUUUUCCCCUUUUUUUACUGGACCGUCGUACUUUACACAUUUAAUCAAUUUUUUUCAAUUUUUGAUUCAUCGUGCCCAAAGCCUACAUAACGAAAAUGUGAUCAGAAUUAAAAUGAUGUACAAAGGUAUUAAUUAAUGUCAUACAAUUAACUGAAUAACUAAUGUCAUACACUACAACAAUCAAUCAAUCCAUAUAUCUUCACACCCAUCUUUAAUAUUUUCACUCCCAAACUCACCCACUAGGUCAUCAUAUGUGUCAACAUUUGGUAUCCCUCUAGUAAAUGUCUCACACUCAAUUCUAAUAUCACCUAGCACAUCAUCACCAAUAACAUUAUUAUAUUCUCUAUUAUGCAUUGAUAACACUACCGACCAACCACGAUGCAUUGGGUCGUCAGCAUAAAAUACUUGUUUUGGUCAUUCCUAUGUCCAAUUUUACUCAAAUCUACAAAGGUGAAUCCAAGUUCAUCGACAACAAGGCCCAAAGUGUUAUCUAUCCAAUCACACCUCAAGACAAGGAUUCUAAACUUUUGGUAGUCAAGGUCCCAAAUUUCUUGAAUAACACCAUAAAAACCCAUAUUGGAGACAAUAGAGUUUUUAUCCUUAGCACUAGCAACUUGCAUAGUAUGUGCAAGUAAAUAAACUCCACUAUUUUGGACAGUUCGCAUAUCAUCUUGUGCCUUGGUGUUAAAUUUAACACCAUUAAUAAGAUAGCUCCUAUAUGAUGGCAUUGCCAUGCUUGGACUAGCUGCUAGCCACCUCAAAUUUUAUGAUACGCCAUUAUGCUCUUCCCCAUUAAGUUCACUUUGAACUUGCAAAUUAAUCGUAUAUAUCCUAAUUCGAUCUAACAUAUAAAAAGGAAGAAAAUUAAAAGUUGAAUAUGUCAUUCAAUAACAUAUAUACUUGAAAGUGUAGCCAUUGAAUGAAAGUGCUAUUGUGCUUAUCUUGCAGCCACUUUGUUCUCUUUCUAAAUAUUGGAUAAGUGGUCUUGAUGUGGAUCAUAUGUUCCAUACAUUGACACGAAAAAAUCAAGCAUUACGGUCCCUUGUAUAUAAGAUAACAUAAGGAAUAAUAAUAUUUAAAAUGGCUCUAUAUGAAAAAUGGAACUCAUGCGUACUCGAUAUAAGGUAGGACUUCCUCAGUAUUCUCCAAGACAUAUAGAUGUGUCUGGUUCAAAAAACCCGAUCACCUAAGCUUACUGUGCAACCAGAUAAUGGCUUUGAAACUCCCAUCUUCUAGCUUGAAGGCACUCCAACUGUACUAACAUCAGAUAAAUGCUCGGUGCAAAACUCUACAACUUCUUCAGCUAUAUACCGCUCAAUAAUGCAACAUCCGGGACGAGUACGGUUCUGAACAAACCUAUUUAGCACUUUCAUAUGUCUUUCAAAUGGAUACAUCCAUCUAAAAUAUACUGGCCCAUGUAGACGAACUUCUCUGACAAGAUGUACUACUAGAUGAACCAUGAUAUCAAAGAAUGAAGGGGGAAAGUACUUCUCAAGCAAACGCAACGUAACUACUACAUCUUCUUCCAAAUUAUCUAGCUUGGAAACAUCUACUGUCUUUGCACAUAUAGCAUUGAAGAAGAAGCACAAUCGAGUUAUUGCAUACCUUGCAGGCUUCUCCAAACAGAACGAAUUGCCACAGGGAGCAAUUGUUGCAUCAAGGCAUGAAAAUUAUGAGAUUUAAGGCCAAGAAGUCUUGAAUAUUUUUAAGAUACAAGAUUUUUUUAUAUUUGAACAAUAACCUUCAGGGACUUUCAUACCAUAGAAAGAAUUGCAAACCGCUCUCUUAUCUGCUCUUGACAAAUUCUAGGGCCUUGGAGGCAAGCGAGUACGUCUUUCUCAAUACUCGGGUUGCAAAUCAUUUUUGACCCCCAUGUUCAAUAAAUCUAACCGAACAGCAAUCUCAUCUUUAUUUUUUCUAGGGAUCUCCAGCAAUGUACCAAUGAUACUAUCGCAAACAUUCUUCUCAAUAUGCAUAACAUCUUGGACAUGCCUCAUAGGAAGGUAUUUCAAAUACUCGAGAUCAAAGAAUUUUGAUUUCUUAUUCCAACAAACUCUGUCACCAUCAUUCUCAAAAACACUUCCCCCAUUUUUCGAGCCCCAUAUGUAAUUAAUAUCUUCAACCAUGUCCUAUUCAAGUUAAUGGUUCGGGAGGCGUGCCAUAUUCAAGUUUUCCAUUGAAAGCUGCACGCUACCUCCGACAUGGAUGAUUGAUUGGUAACCAUUUUUUAUGACCAAUGUAACAAAUUUUGGGGCCAUUUUCAACCUGUGACUAGGUGUAUCAUCGCCGCAUAUUGGACAAGCUUUAUAUCCUUUAACGACACUGUAACACCCCGACUCUAAAUUAAUCCCUUAUUUAAUUAUUUAAAGAAAAUUACAAAUUUACCCUUAAGAUAGGGGUAUUUUGGUCAUUUUCUUACCCGAAGAGAGUUUGGGGCAGUGACUAGUAUUUUUGGAUAGGUCGUACUGAGACGAGUUCAUAGACACGUAGUGGGCUCGAAUCGAAGUUGUAACGAGAGAGAUAUGGUCAAAAGAAACCCAAUUGCACAAUCAUAAUUAUUUCGAAAUGAGAUUUUUAUAAAAAUCAGAUUUUUUUUUCUCUCUCUCUCUCUCUCCUCGUCGGUCUCUCUCCCUCUCCUCGAAACUCCGGCCAUCGGCCACGGCUGUGGACGGGGCCGGUACCAAAAUGACCGAGGCGUUGUCCUCCUCUAAUCCCAGCUAGGUCCCGCCGUCAGCCGCCAUGGUUUCGCCGGAAAAUGGAGAAGAAGCGGCCGGCGUCGUCCGAAGUUCUCCGCCGUUGAUCUCCCUCUUCCGGUCACCGAUUCCGACGAGUGAGGUAUGGUUUCUCACCUACUUUUCAUGCUCUAGCUGCCUGCUGGGUAUGAUUGGAUUGAUUUUUAGCGUAGGCAAUUCGAUUUUCGCAUUGAAAUUCGGCUAAUUUUGGAAUCACGAUUCCGGCUAGUUCUGGUCAGUUUUUGGGGUAGAUCCAAGAACAAAAGUGGCUCCAAAUAGGGUGUUAUACCUAGGGUAGGAGUUUGGAGCCAUGGUUUUGAGAUUUUCCGGCGAUACGUAAUCGCUUUAGACACCCAACGCUGCCCGCACGUGUGGCAGUGCGUGGGCGAGGGUAGUGAAAUAGCACUAUGUCUCGAUGAGAUCCUUAGGUUGUCACGAGUGCGUAGGAUUUCGCGGAUCUCAAUUCGGACGUCGUUUGACUAUCGAACGGAUUUUCGUAUAUUGCGCGUCAUCCGGGUUCGAUAGGUUGGGACCGUUGGAUGGUCUCGAAUAAAAUAUAUGUUAAUCUAGGUAUUUCUAGGAUCAUGUAGGAAUUCACGGAUUAUAAAUCGGAGCCCCGGAUAUUCCGAAUAAAUAAUUUAAAGUUUAUGUUUUAUAAUAACCGUCACAUCGUGCGAUCGUGAGCGAUCCGACCGGCCGAUCUGGACCAAACUUACAGAACGAGUGUCCUAUACCUUGAAGAACCCAUAGGAAUUUUCAGAUCGAAAUUUGGAGGUCGUGGGCCCCGUGGGCCCAUUUGACUAGGGGUAGGGUAGUUUGACCCUUAGUUGACCGUGAGUCUCCCGGAGUAAUCUCACCUUUCCAGGGGGAUUAUCGGGUGCUAGACUGUUGUUGAGGUUUACACGAUAUUAGUAGUAAAUUAUAUAUUUAUAUACAUUUGUAAAGGUAAAAAAUAAGUCCAGAAUGUCAGUUUGAAGUGCUUUACGCACUACCUUAGGUACCUCCCCGGAUUUUAGUUACACUACAAGUACCACCCUAUGAAAGUUAGGUCCCACGUGGCGUAGGUUAUCCGGCGUGCGGACAGGCCCUAUACGUGGCAUUGGUAGUAUCGGUGUAUGGGGAGAUUACGUGAUAAUAUGUUGAGGUCACACGUGGCGUAGGUUAUCCGGCGUGUUGACAGACCCCAUACGUGGCGUUGGUUGUACCGGCGUAUGAGGAGAUAUUGUGAUAUGAUAUUCAGGUCUCGCGUGGCGUAGGUUAUCCAGCGUUGAGACAGACCCCAUACGUGGCGUUGGUUCUACCGGCGUAUAAGGAGUUUAUGUGAUAUUAUGUUGAAGUCGCGCGUGGCGUAGGUUAUCCGGUGUGUCGACAGACCCCAUACGUGGUGUUGGUUGUACCGGCGUAUGGGGAGAUAUGUGAUAUGAUGUGCAGGUCUCGCGUGGCGUAGGUUAUCCGGCGUUGAGACAGACCCCAUAUGUGGCGUUAGUUGUACCGGCGUAUGGGAAGAUAUUGUGAUAUGAUAUUCAGGUCUCGGGUGGCGUAGGUUAUCCGGCGUGUUGACAGGCCCCAUACGUGGCGUUGGUAGUACCGGUAUAUGGGGAGAUUAUGUGAAAUACAGAGAAAUGAAAUAAGGUAUUGCCUAUGUGUGGAAUUGGGUUUUAAGGAAGAACUACGUGUGGCUUGAUCCCUCAGGGAGGGUACGUAGGCAGCCUAAGGUUAUUAGGUGUAGCCGCGGACAUAGACGUGAUUGUGUUAGGAGGUUAAAACCUCGUAUGUUGAAAUUGAGAAAAUUAGAUGAUGUAUGUUGAAAUUUAGUAGUCGUAAUUUAUAUUUAAAUUUAUCGUUUGCCUUGUUUAAGGCAUGAAUUGAUUUGCUAGCAUGCUUGGUAGUUGAGAAUUAUAGAAAGGCCGAAGGCCGUUUAUGUGAAUUGCAUGGAAUUAUAUUGUGCAUGCUGCCAGUUGUAGUUAUUAAAUGUGUUUUUAUGCAGGUUGAAAUUUUGGGAAAUGUCCAAUUUACAGGGGAGACUCUGCCGAAAUUUCGGCAGAAAGUCUCGGUCUUUAGUAAGUGGGCCUGACAUCGAGGUGAUGUCGGGGAAUCCACAGGAUCCGCCUCGAUUUUUGGAAAAAUCGGGGCGGUUCCUUUCAGACACAACCAGAUAAGUUCUCAUAGGCAGAAAAAUCAUUAAUUGUUCACAGUAAUACACCUAUGAGUGUAAAGUAAUCUCCUAUGUGUGCAUCAUACACUCCUUUAAUCCCAUCCCACAAAGAUUUUAAAUCAUCAAUCAGAGGCUCUAAGUAGACAUCUAUAUCAUUUCCAUUCUAUUUAGGACCAGAAAUCAAUAAGGUCAAUAUCAUGAACUUCCAUUUCAUGCAUAGCCAUGGUGGGAGAUUAUAUGUAACUAAGAUAACCAACAAUUGUAUCUGCUACUUAAAGAACUGUGGGGAUUGAAUCCAUCAGAUGAGAGAGCCAAUCUCAAGUUUCUUGGCUCUUUACUGAACUCGGGCCAUUUAUCAUCAACAAGUUUUUAAGACGGGAAAUUCGCUGGAUGAGACAUAUGACCGUCAAUUGCUUUUCUAGCAACAUGCCAAGUCAAACUCUUAGCUGUCAUAUGUGAUUGAAACAUCCUUUUAAACCUUGGAAUUGGAGGAAAAUACCACACCACCUUCGCUGGCACACUCUUUUUCAAGAUUGAAUCUUUGCAUUCCUUCCACCUUGAGAUACCACAAGUAGGACAAUUAGUUGAAUCUUCAUAAUCAUUCCUAUACAAGAUGCAGUCAUUGGGACAUGCAUGGAUAUUCUCAUAACUCAUCCCUAAAGGAGAUAAUGUCUUUUUUGCCUCGUACAUAGAGGAAUAUAGUGUCUUUCCUUCUGGAAGCAAAUCUCCUUGAAGUAUCAAUAAUUCUAUAAAACAAACAUCACUCAUCCCAUGUUUUGCUUUCAAAUUAUAUAACUUCACCAAAGCCGACAACAUCGUGUACUUACUGCAACCAGGGUACAAGGAUUGAUCUCAAUCCCCAAUCACAUUGGCAAACUCAUAAGGAUCAAAUCCAAUAUCGCCUAAAUCAUUAUCAUCCAUCCCUACUUCUUUAGAAACAAAACUGAACCUACUUUGCUCAUCUUCUUCCACAUUUCUACUAGCAUUAGUAGUCAAUUCCCAAGGUUCUCCGUGCCAUGUGCAAAUCUGAUAGCUUUAGUCAAUUCCAUUAAAGUAUAAGUGGUCCCUCAUAAUUCCAACCCCAAACAAUCGAAUAUUCCCACAUUUAACACAUGGACAACGAAUAUGAGUUGUAUUUCCAAGAUUUUCUACAGCAAAAUUCAAAAAUCCUUCCACCCCUAACUCAUAUGCCUUCGGUCUUCUAUCCGCAUGCAUCCAUGACUUAUCCAUCUCACACACUAUAAAAUCAUAUAUAUAAUAAAGUGAAAAGACCAGCAAUGAAACACUACUUUAUUCACAUAGCAAAGAAUGAAUUGAAAAAAAAAAUUAACCAAGAAUCAGACGACGGUUUUUACAAAAAAAAUCGUCCUGUAACAGAGGGUCAGACGACGGCAUAUCUAGUUAUCGACGUCUUUAAGCUACCCAAACCCAGAUAUUUGUAUUGCUUUUUGAAGAACCGGGUUCUGGGUUCUGGUAAACAAAAGAUGACGGUAAAUGGAGAAACACCGACGUAUCCUAAAACUUGAGACGACGGUUUAUUUCACCAACCGUCGUCGUAGUUUACGAAAAACAGAAGUCUAAAUCUCCCAUCCUCAUUCCUUUUCUAAGAACCCUUAACAAAAUGCAAACAUCAAAAUAUAAAAGAGCCAUAUAUAGCUCCCAAUUAAGAAACCAAAGCUACCAAAACAUAUAUUAAUAAACCAAAGCUACCAAAAUGAACGAAAACAUUUAUGGGUUUUACAAACUAAGAGAAUAUUGAGAGAGAGCUGAGAGAAUAUACUUACAUGGAUAUUGAGAGAGAGCUGAGAGAAUAUAACAAAUGCUUGAGAGAGAGCUUAGAGAAUAUACACAAUGCUUUGAGAGAGAGCGAAAAAUUUAAGACAAAUUUAUGUUGAAGAGAGAGAAGGAAAUAUUUUAGGGUUAAAGGGAAAUUCUGAAAAUUUUAGAUCACCGUCAAAAUUUUCAAAGGACCGCGUUUUUCAAAGACGGCUAAGGAAAACUACCGCCAUUGUAAAUCAUUUUACUACGACGGUUGAGGAAAACUACCGCCAUUGUAAAUCAUUUUUAUGUCGCCUCUAUAAAAACCGACGUCUAAAAUAUUAAAUAAUUAGAUUUGGUUUGCAUUUCGUGGGAUUCUAACGUGCGUAAUUGACCAAAAAGAGCGAGAGAAAACCAGCGUCGUUUCUAUAAAACCUAAACCCUAAACCCUAAACCCUAAACUCUAAAACCUAAACACUGAAAAAAUUAACCAAAAAUUGCUAUGGACUCCUUACAACAAUGCCUUCUAUAUUAGUAGGCUAAAAUCGGGAUUAAAUAAUUUUGAAUUUUAUGACCACCAAUGGAUCACAUAAACCUUAGGGUUAUGUUUAUGGAAAGUAUAAGGAUUAUUGUGUUUUGUCUCUAAAUCUUUUUUACUUUUGUUAUCACUUGUAACUUUGAAAUCUAAAAUUAAAAUUUUCAGGCCUUUAGGGGGGAGAUAUUGUCUCAAUGUGUUUAUAGAAUUUGAGACUGCGAAGGUUCUAGCUGAUUGACUAAGGAUGAGGCAGGAUGGAUGGAAGGUUUGCUUGGAGAUUCUACCUUUGUCAGCUCUUCUGGUUGACAUGUUGUUUAUUCUGCCUGAGGAACUACUUCUAGAUUUUUCCCUUUUCUAGCAGAACUAGUCUCUGGAAGUACUUGUGUGUCAUCCUUAUUCUUGAGGAAGACGCAGUAUUGCCUUUGAACUCUCCUCUUUUGCAUUCUGGUUAGCUUCAGAGUUGGUCUUCGGCUUUUUCCAAUAGAAUAUCAUCUACCUUCUAUGAUAGUUGCAAAGGGCUUGUCAUUUCCAGGCAUCUUAACUGGUAUUUCCUUCUUUGGCUGCUCUAUUAUUCUCUUGUUGCGUUGGGCAGGCCUUAAAUAGUCCUUCUGUCUGGCUCUAUCUCUAGGUGGAGCCGGAACUAGGCCUUGUUGGUAUGAUGUUCCAAUCCUGUCAAAAACACAAGGUGUGGGCUGACUUUGCCUAACCAGAGUUACCUCUAACUCACUUUCACAUUUGCACCUGUUGCACAAAACUACCCCAGCCGAAAUGGUUGCUUUUGGUCUUCAAUUAGCCUAUCUUUGGACUCUUCUGCCUAUGCUGGGGCUAACUUUUGCUGUUAGUUUGCCUUUCUUUUGUUUUGGCCAAUUUAAGUUGACCAUGUUGACUUGAGGUUGGGGAAAAGGGUCUGUUGUUAUCGAAUGAGGUUUCUCAGCCAGUUUUAGCCUCCAUGCUGUUAUUCCUUCCUGUAUGACGUCCCUGAAAACAACACAACUAUUGGUGGAAUGGUCCCAGGAGUUAUGCCAUCUGCAAUACUGUCUGCCCUUGAGUUCCUCUAGCUUGGGCAACUUGUAGGGUGUUUCUAUUGCCUUCUGUCGCAGCAUGUCAUCAAACAGGGCAUCAACCUUGGUUAAAUCGAGGGAAUAGACUUUGUUAUGAGCUGGUUUGUUUGGAACAAACCCUCUUGUGAAUGGUGGUGGCUUUUGGUCCUUUGGUGGCUUUGUUAAAGCCUUGCAACUGAUGAGAUGUUUUAAUUUCCCCAUUUCUGCCACUGCAACUUCUCUCUCCUCCGAGCUUUCUAUGCCUUCUUCUGAUUCUACCUCAACAAGAUUUACUGAAGAGGAUGGGGUUUUGUAAUAUGUGCCUUUGAAAGAGUUCCUCUUCUAUUGUUCUUCCCUGAGCAGCUCCUUGUAUUUAGAUGCUUUGUCUGCUAGUUCUGCCAGAUCUCCAAACAGCAUCCCAUCAAAUUUUUUUCUCAGAGAGAUUUUAAGGGAGAUUUGAGCCAUUUGGAUGAAGUGCCCUUCCUCCAUAGGGAUUCAAAAUUUCAUUUUGAGCUUUUUGAACCUGGUUAUGAAGUCUUGGGCAGGCUCAUCUUCCCUCUAUUUCCAGGUUUGAGGGCAGCAAGAUCACUGAUGGUGACUUCUGGCUGAAUCCUAAAAUAGUAGUCAUGGAAGACAUUUUCCAUCUAUUUCCAGGUUUGAACAGAAUUGGCUGGUAAGCUAGUAUAUUAGAUGAAGGCUUGUCCAGAGAGAGAAUUUCGAAAAAGCCUUAGUUUUAACAGAAGGUUAUUUUCUAUGGCUAUGCACUGGAAAGAGAAUCUGCCUAUAUGCUUAACUGAUGAAGCAUGGGUGUCUUCUCCGUUGAACAAGGUGAAGUGUGGUACCUUAAAGCCCAGGGAUAGAGGUAUUUGAUCGAUAUAAGCUGGAUAAGGCUUUCUGUAGGUGGGCCUUUCUCCUCUUCUGGCCUCAGGUUCCAUCAUCUCUCUGAUCAUUCUAUAAAGUGCCCCCAUGUCAUUCAAAGCAUUGACAUGAUGCGGGGUUCGCCCCUGUUCUGGCUAGUUGUGUUCAAUCCUUUGUUCUACUUUAUAUGGCCUGGGCAGAACUUCCUCCCUAUGCUCUUCCUCUUUUUCGAAAUCUGGAUGAUUCCUUUAGUUUGCCCCCGGUCUGUUUUUGUCAUUGUUGGCAAAGGGUUUAACUCCUACUCUACCUCUCAUGCCACUUGCUAGUGGAGGGAAUGGAUUGGGGUCCAUCCUUCUAGGUCUGUAGGGCAACACAACUGGUUGCUCAGGCAGAAGUGCCAAGGCCUGAUCACGUGGGGCCACUAGUUGUGGAAUAGGUGGAGGUUCUGGCUAGUUCUGAGGGGGUCUGAACUGGUGCAGAGCCUUCUGGAUGAACUGAAUCCUCAUGUUCUUGGAUGGGAAGGGCUCCUCCCCUCUGUCCAGCUUGGAUUUCUCCAUGUCCUGGUAUUCCAGCUAUCUGUGUGAUGAGAGGCUUCUCUUCAUAUGGCCAUGCCAGUCCUGGUAGAGGUCCAAAAGGGAGAUCUAGCUGCUGGACCACCAUGUCUAGGUUUGGAAUUUUGGCAAUAGUAGCCUCACGGUCCUUCCUGAACUGCCUGUUGACUUGCCAUUACAUCAUGGUUGUCAUGUUGUUUAGAGUAUCUUGGCUCAUUUGUGCUGUGGCUUCUUGCCGAAACACAGCCUCCUGUAUCUAGUUUAACCUUCUGGAACCAGACAUGGAACGUCUACUCGUGGUACUGCCAUGGGCUGAUUACCUAGCAUCACUUUCUUUUGACUCAAGUCCUUUUCGGAGAGCUGCUUGAUCUCUUUUCAUGGCAUAGCGUGGAUUCUGGCUAGAACUUCCAAUAUUCAUAUACUAGAGGAUUUUUCUAGAAAUAUAUGUAUUGAGAAGUCCCACUGGGCGUGCCAAAUUGUUCAUCCGUUUUAGAUUUGUUCCUGUGAUGGUAGGGUAAAGUUCCUCAUUGACUUGAAAACCAUUGGUGGUCAAUAAGUCAACUUUCUUUUGUGUACAAAUGUGCCACUGCUAGCAAUAAAAACCCUAGCAGACUUCUUAAAAAUAGAAAACUUGUGCCCAAGUUAUUAACUUCUAAAUAAGCGAUUGUGAAUUUGGGCGAGGAAUAUCUCCCAAGUAAGUUCUUUUCUUUGCCUCAGAUUGGUGAGGACUUCACAAUUUUUCACAGUACAAAACUGGUAGUUCUAGCUAGAAUAAAUGAUAAGAAAGUGAACUGUUUUCAGGCAGAACUACCUUUUACAAAGCUUAAAAAGGAAGACCAACUCUAAAAAGACAAAAAGAGCUUUUGGACUUCAAUUUCUGCUUGGAUAAAUGCUUCUGAUCCGGGCUGGACUGGGUAUGUUUGUGCUGGACUGGACUAUCAACACCUUCAACUGUCAAGUUUUAGCUGUCAAUGAAUACCAAUGUUCGAGUGUGGCAAAGCUUCAAUCUAUUUCAAGCCGUGCAAGGCUUUUUGAACGGACAGAAUUGGAACCUCUUCAGUCUGGAAGGGGUAGAAGUGGCUGAAUUUGGUGAUUACUGAGCUGGAACUGCACUGUAGUACCUGUUCUGCUUGAUCAGGGCUCUCCAUAAAUUUGUUGAGGUUUUAAUAUUGGUAAAACCCGAAGCUUAUGUUGAACCAACUUUGUAACGAGAGAAAUCUUGCUUUGAAUGACUAUUUCUCUGAAACUAAACAGAAGUUAGAGAUUCUGGAAUAUAGCUGACUUGUUUCUUAUGGCUCAAUGAGCUUUUGGUUGCUUCAGUGUUUUGAAGGCUUUUGAGAUCAAGUGAUCAUUUUGAGUUUUUAUUUUUGAUUGAUUUUUUGGCUGUCCUUUUAUCUGUUCACCUCAUCUCAUAUUUAUAGAAUAUACUGGAGUGUGAUUUCUAAUCUUUUAAUAAUGGGCGGCAAAUCUUUUAAAAGAUCUUUUUUUCUUUUUUCAAUGUCAUAAGAGAAGGAAGCUACUAUUCUGACAGAGAAAGGUUGUCAACAAUCAUCUUUCAAUUUUUCUAUGUUCACUUUUUGUUCUUUGUAAAGAGAAAGAACACAAUCUACCAUGAUGGUCAGUGUGCUUUUCCUGUUGAACAACUCCCUCGUUCUCUACUUAUCUCUUGAAAACGUAGUCUGCUUAUCUCUUGGAAAGACCACCUGAUUUGGUGCAGAGCUUCUCUAUAUAUAUAUAUAUAUAAAGGGAUUUUGAUCUUCUUCUUUUGGCUGAAAAAAUAGAGAAGUCUUUCUGUAAGACCUGCCUUCAUUAAUUUUCUAUCAACUUCUCUGUAAUAGUUGAAAAUUUUGACUUUUCAAAGCCAGGUAUUCACGUGGGGUUGUUUAGAAAAGAUCUGUUGAUUUUGUCAAUCUUUUAGGGUAGAGAUUAAAUAGCGUAAAAAGGCUGGGCUAGUCUCUUUUUCUUAGUAGAUAAAAAGCCCAAAUAUUUUGUCUCACUGCCCUUUUCUGGAAAAUAAAUGGGCUGGGUGUGUUGGAAAUUGGCCCAAUCUUAAGAAAGACUCUGGUGGCUGCCCAAAAUUGACAUAGGCUUUUCUUGAUUUUGGGCUGGGCAUGCCAAAUUAGGCCCAAACAAUGCCCCUUAAGUCUGAAUUGUUUUUGGAAUAGUUUCAGACUUAAUGAUUUGGCCAUUAAUUUGUGCGCGCCAUUUCCUUCUGUUAGCCCACAUCUGCCACGUCUGCCUAUUAUGAUCAAGACUUCGUGGGAAAGUGGGCAGUUACUAGCUAGUUAUUAUCAGGUGGCGUCUUGUCUUCUUCUUCCCACGAUUUCGAGUCUUUCUAAGAAAUUUAAAAAGACCUCAGCUCCUGUUUACUCAAAACCUAACUUCUUCAGACCUUGAUUUUCCUCAGUUUUCUCAGAAUUUUUACCCUUUUCUGCGAUCAAACCCUGCUUCCUUUCAGUUUGAUUCCCCUAUCCUAGCUCAAAACCCGAAAAUGUCUUCUCCAAAAAAUCGUGCCCAGACUUCUUCUUAUUCUGUUCCUCCUACCUACAUUACUGGGGCCGGUGUUGAUAAGCAUGUGAUUGAAGUCCGGAGCAAGCUUCAUCCUUUUGCCCAGAACGUUCUGGACAAGAACGUGUUACAUUUGUUCGAGAACACUCUUGUUUUGGAGCCUCAUCGGUUUGGUUCUGUCCCGACUGAAAUGGCAGAAUUGUUUAAAGAAUAUACUGAAGCUCCUCUAUGCUUUCAGAGCUCUUUCGUAGAUUUCAGUUUUAUAUAUAAACUAUCGUGUUUCUCCCUAUAACAUGUCGUUUUUAAGAAUUGUUGUCAAUGUUUUAUUUCCUGCUACUAUAAGACGGCGAUUAUUUAUACAUAUGAGACGUGUAAAUUAGAAUGAGACGUCAGUCUUUGGGAUUUAAAUUAAGUUUUUACGAUUUAAUGUCAUUUUAGUUCAUAUAAGGACAUAAAUGUCCUAACCAAAAAUAUAUUUAUGUACAUUGUCAAUAAAUUAAAAUAAACCUAAACAUUGUUAAAAUAAAUUAGAUCACUUAUUAUUCUGUAAUUACUUGUUAACGAAUUCAGCCCAUUCCAACCUGACUUCGUCAAUAUGUUCUUAUACAUACUGAACUGGUUCCUUUUUCUUAUCAAACUGCAAAUAAAUAACAAAAACCAACGUGUUAUAAAGAUUACAACGACUGCUUUUAAAGAAAAAGUUGUGGUACUAAAAUAAAGAAUUUAUAUCUUAAGUUUUGCCUUUUACCUUCUUCUCAAAUGCUAGGCCUGGAUCAUGAAUUAUAUCUCUCAUGAAAUGCAUCACGUAAUAGCCACACUCUACAUUUGUUGGUUGUCGAGGAGUGCCAUGUAGAUUUUUCCAUAUGACUGAUUUACAUGAUGAUUAAUUGCCUGUGUGAGAGUUAUACAUUUUGAUUGAACUGUUUCAAGAAAAUGAAAAGUGUUAAUGAUAAAAAUAAAAAUCUAAAGCAAAAAUAUUAAACGUCGUGGUAAAUAAGUGAAGACGAUGGUUUUGUUAAAAAAGUGAUGUUGUAUUUCAUUUCAAACGUUGGUAAAUAAAAACCGUCGUUGUGUAGAAUUCUAACGUCGGUGACGAUGAAAAAUGACGUAUAACCAAAAAUUGUUUGUAAAUGAAAGUUGAACAGAAAAAAAUAAAACUUCCUUAAAUGAAAAACACAAACGACGUGGUAUUUCAAUUAAAAUGACGGUUUACAGAAAAUACUGACGUUGUAAAUGAUUUCAAACAUCGGUUUGAAGUUACCAUCGUGUUUUCAUUGUAACGUCGGUAUUAGAAAAAGCCGUAUAUCAUUCAAAUGCAAAUAAAAAAAUGUUAGAUUUUCAUAGAUAAACUUACAUAUUCACUAUAUUUCUCAUGUCCUCGUCAACAACGCGGUUUGGCAAUGAAUCCAUGUAAUAGAUAGUCUCCUUCGCUGGUCUCACAAUUAUUAACACCCAAUGACCCCUACACAUAAUGAUCCAUAUAGGUUAAAUAUACUAGAAAGAAAAAUAGGCAUCAAGUAUAGUUAAGGGGACUAACCUUGGAUUACAAGGCACCAUGUAAAAUUGAUCCCCAUUUGCGUUUUUCAGGCGGUCUGAGAGAUGUUUCAAACGGUAAGAUAACGUUCCAGAUUGAGAGCUGACUUGUCCAAGGUCCACGAAGCCAAUAAGGUUUACCAUAUUUUCUAUUUUUAAAUAGUCAAAUAGGCACCUAAAUAUAUGAAAUUCAAUUAAAUGAGAUUUUAACUUUAAAGAAAGGAAAUGUAUAAUGCAAUCACUGUGGAUCCAAUCUCAACCAUGGAAGGAAAUUGUAAAAUAUCUUCACACAAGAGGAAGGUAUCAUGGUUAAUGCCAAAGGCUUCCUCUGGAAUGUGAAUUCUAAUGGUCUCGUUAAUGGGCUUCAACUUGGUCUCGACAAAUUGAAAUAAGGCUAACAGAGGAGGUGGCAUGUCUAGCUUUGAGAGAUCCUGUUACAACAAAUAAAUAAAGAAAUAUAAGUUAGUUUGUACACUAAGUAAAAUAAACGACUCUAACUAAACCAAUCAAACCGACGUGGUAUAUAAUAUAAUCGACAGUUUCUAGAACAUACUGAAGGAGUAAAGGUUAUAGACGACGGUAAAGACAUAACCAUCGUUAUGUAAAUGUUCUAACGUCGCUGCAUUAUGGAAAGGUCGUCUAAUUAAAAUGCAGUGAAGCCUUUAUUGAAAUACACGACAGUUUAUAAAAUAAACACCGACGUAGUAAAAUACUGAGACGACGGUUAUCAGCAACGUCUAUUUGAAAUUAUAAAUCAGAAAAAAUCAAAUAUCAAAGAUUUUACCGUUUCAUCUUGCCAUUGUUUAGCAACAUCAGCAUCAUUCGUGGGAUUUUCUUCCUCCAAAACAAGGGGUCUCACAUUAGAGCAGCUUGCUUUGUCAGACAUUAGAUUUUUUGGAGUAAUUGGAGUUUUAUUGAGCAAGUUGGGAUCACAGUUGGGAAUUAGUUGACUGAAUUGUUUCAAUAAAAUUUCCCUCUCUGCUCUGACUGCCUCCAAAACAGUUUCUUUUGCCUUAGCUUUAAUCUUUUUGGUUUCUUCUCUCACUGCCUCCAUAACACUUUCCUUCAAUUUGUUAGCAAAUUUUACUCUCUGCUGUCUCGACAAAUUGAAGAAUUGAGUUGGGGAAACCCCAGCUCCAACACCUCUAACUCUCCCACCAUGCUCAGGGGUUCCCAAAGCCAAGGUCAAAAUAUCGUUGCUCUCAGAGACAGCAGAGUGCCCUCGGAAACUUGUUUUUUCAAAUCAUCCUAAAAGUGAGAGAGAGAGAGAGAGAAUGUUAGUGAGUGAACAGAUAGUAAAACAGAUUAAAUAAACAACUAUACAAAAAUAUUAACCGACGUGGUAAAGACUUUAAAAAACUGAAAUCAAUCCCCAAUAGUAACAGGGACCAUGCAGCAACGAUUUGGUUGACAGUAGUAUAGGUUGGAGAUGCUGUUGAUCAUUAGAUACUAUUUUUUUAAAUAUCAAUUCUGUAACAUCCAGACCUAAAAAAUUAAUGAUUUUGAUUUAAAAUUAAAUUUAAAUAAGCAAUUACGAAUUUACCCUUGGGGAAGGGGUAUUUUGGUAUUUUUUUUUUAUUCAGAAAGAGUUUGGGGCAGUGACUAGUAUUUUUGGGUAGAUCGUACUGAGACGAAUCCGUAGACACGCGGUAGGCCUGAAUCGGAGUUGUAACGAAGAAACGGUGACCAAAAUUAGUCCAGUGGCAAACUUGUAAAUAUUUUGAACUUGGGUGUAGAAAAAUCUGAAACUGGCUUCCUCUCUCCUGCGUGCACACGUCCUUCUCUCUCUCUCCUCUCUCUCUCCUCGAUACCAUCACUCUCUGUCUCUCUCUUCGAUUCUCUCAAUUCUGGCCACGGCAAGGGCCGGGACUGGUUCCGAUCAACUCCUCACAAAGCCCCGAACCAGAACCACCACUUUUCUUGGCCGGAAAGCUCGAGUUUCGCGUGGUAAUCUCGACUGGUUUGAACCAGUUUUCCUCCGUCAUUGUGCCGCCGCCAUCGCAGCCCAAUCUCGGUUAAACAAGUGAGGUUUCUUACUCUUUUUCCGAGCUCUAGCUGCCUGUUGGGUAGGAUUGGAUUGAUUUUUUGUCUAGGAUCCCGAUUUUGAAACCUAAGUUUUGACGAAUUUCAAAGUGAAAUUCCGGCCGGUUGCCGUCCUAAUUAGACCUCCCCGUAGUUGAAUAAAGUGAUCCUCGCUUCGAGUAGUAGCUAAGGUAGGAAUGGUGAAUUGCGGUGUGGAGUUUUUCCAUCACUGAAAAUUACUCUACACAUCCACGCGUUGCCAGGGCAUGUGGAGGCGCAUGGGCAAUGUGGUGAGACCACAUUUUAUCCUGAUGUAGUCUCCUAGUCCUCACGUGCGCGUAAGUGUGCUCGAAUUUCAAUUCGAAUGUUGUUUGACUAUCGAACGGAUUUAUGCAUAUUGUUUCUUAUCCGGGUUCAAUAUGUUCGGACCAUUGGAUCGAGUCCAAAUUUACGUAUGUUAAUCUAGGCACCCCUAGGAUCAUGUGCGAAUUCGCGGAUCGUGAAUCGGAGCCCCGAAUGUUCCGAUUCAAUAAUUUGAAGUUUAUGGUUUGCGAUAACCGUCAAUUUCUGACCAAACCUACAGGACGUGUUUCCUAAACCCGUAGUCGGACCUUAGAAUACUCGUUAUGCGUGCACGCACCGGGAACUUGAGAAAAUUAGUAUUUAAUUUGUAAAUUCCGUUUUGAAGUGAUUUUUUAUUAAUUAAGGGUGCGUAUCUCGAAAUAGGUGCUCCAUCACUAGCACGCAGCAGGUAGGACCCUCUUGAGGUCAGGCAGUGUGGGACUACUUGUGAGUGGACAUUUAUUUUAUAUAUGCAUUAUUUUCAAUGAUUGAAAGAAUAUGCAUGAAAUAUAUAUAUUUUUUGGAAUAAAGAUUGAGAAAUUCAUAUGUUGUUAUAUCAGUAUUAUUUAAUUUAGAAUUUGGUUUGAUUUGAUGAUGAGUUAUAUAAAGGUCAAGUUAUUCGUGAUUAAGUCUUGGAUGAAUUUUGGGGGAAUCGGGAAUUGAAUAUUAUGGUUUAUGGUGGGAACUUAUAUGAUUACACUGUGUGGAGUACCAUCCCCUAGUUACUAGGCUUCCCACAUGUGGCGUUGGAAAUUUUCCAGCGUGUGAUGAUGUAGUCUGCACGCAUAGGACUUAGUAUUGGAGCUACACGUGGCGUUGGAAUUUCCGGCAUGUAAGCUAUGGAGUUUCGUCCCCCGGUUGGACCGCUCAUCCCUAGACGCAGGAUAGCAACUGAAAAUCUUGCGGGUUAGCCAAACAAUCCCCCGGUUGGAUUGUUUCCCCGGUACCUAAGUAGUGUGAUAAAUAUUAUGUAUAUUUAUAGAUAUAUAUAUUUCUAUGUGUGUGUGUGUGUGUGUGUGUGUGUGUGUGUGAGUAUAAAUCAGUUAAAGUAUAUGUAGUGGUUGGGUAAGAGCAGUAUAAAUUUUGGGGAUAAAGUUUAUGGAUAGAGUGAUUGAUCUCAAAGGGUUUCGGAGAAUGAUGUUUUUGAUCAUUAAAUAAAAGUUAUGAAUCUGCAUGUCUUGAGCAUUAUUUUUAGACGGUGGGGUUAUUAUGUUGUUUUGAAUGCAAAUUUUGUUUUUCCACUCACAUGUUUUCUGUUUUGCGCCCCCCAAACAGUAGUCGCUCAAGGGAGAGUUGCAAGCCAUGUUCGAGGCCCCGAACUGUGAACAUCAGUAGAUUAGGUUUCGAGUAAUUUCUUUCUACUCAACUGGAUGUUCUUGUAAACUAAAUUCGUUAGAUGCUCUAUUAUUGCCCCUGUUAGGUUUUACUUGUGAGGCCAGAGGCCAUUUAGUUUAUACUGUUGAAUAAUAAAUGCAUGCUGCUGGUUGGGAUUAUAUUGUGCUUAUGCAGGUUGAAAUUUUUGGGAUUGUUCAAUUUACAUGGGAGACUCUAGCAAAAUUUUAGUAGAGAGUCUCGGUUUUUAAUAAGUGGGCCAGGCAUCGGGGUAAUGUCGGAAAUAAGACUGGAUUCGUCCCGGUUUCCGAAGAAUUCGAGGCGGGUCCUGUCAAGUUCCUCCUAUUAACAAUAAUAAAUUAAAUAUUUAUAUAACUGAUAACAGUUCCUCAUAUUAACAAUAAUAAAUUAGUAUUUUGUAUAAUAAACAUGUUUAAUGAAAUUCAUCUUCUUCUAGCAUGUUUAUUUAAAUUCUAAGUUUUCUGAAGAAAAAAAAAAAAAAAAAGGAGAAGGAAAUGUCCUAAAUUAAAUCUUAAAAGUUCAUUUUUUUCUGUCCCUAUAUAUUUUUUACCCAAUUAUAAUUUGAGAAAAAAAGGUGAAUUAACUGUCAUUUCACCUUCAUCAUUUUCAUGAUUUAUAUAAGAUUCUUCAAAGAUCAUUUCCACAAAAAAUUACUUAAAUUCGAAUCCAUUUAACCGUCUAAUUAAAUCGUUAGGACCGUUGAAAUAAAAUUUAAAGUGAGUUUAAAGUGAGUCCUACUAUGUCUCCCUCAAAUAAGAUCAUUUACAGGAUCUGUCGAGUCAUAUGAGAAUGUUUAGCUUUUCGAUCCCAAGAGUUUGGUUCGAUUUUCAUAUAUAUAUAUAUAUAUAUAUAUAUAUAUACAAGUCAAUUUACUUUAAAAAGUUCACCAAAUUUUAUUUUUGGUCUCGGUAGUUUGCUUGAGGGCCUUUUUCUGUCAAUCUAUUUGUUGUGAUUGAAAGAUUUUAUAUAAAACAAAAGAUAUGUUUUUAUCUUAAAAAAUGCUUAUUUUCAGAUCUUUACAUAUAGACAUACAUAUGGCCUGAGAAUUCAAGCAAUAAAGACAUAAGCUGAUGAGCAUUCAUAAUCAUUAGAAUGAGUACUGAAUGGUCAACUCUUUCAAAAUACUUCGGAAAAAAACAAAGGACAAUACUUCCUUCCUUACUCAUAAGAAGGAACUCCUUCUCACCUUCUAUUGUCCCUCAACCACAAAGUAACAAGUGUUCUCUUUUUUUAAUUGUCAAUUUUUUUUUUUUCACUUUUACUGAACCCCUAGCUUUUUACCAAAGCAAAAAACACAAAACAAUAUUCCCAUUGUUUUUUUUUUUCAUUUUGAUUUUUUUCUCAACUUUUUGAAAAAUAACAUUUUUCCUUCUUCAGUAAAAAAUUGAAGUCUUUGUGGUUAAAAGCUAAGGUUUCAGUAAAGGUUUAAAAUAAAUAAAAAGUUUUGACAAUUCAAAAAACAGAACACAUAUCACUUUGUGGUUGAGCCGCAAUAGAAAGUAAGAAAGAAUUCCACCUUACCCAUAAGGAGGGAAGUAUUGUCAAAAAGAAAACAUCUUAAAAAACACACAGAAAACCCACCAUCACUACUUAAAAGAAGUAGAGAAGUCCAACAUUCUGAUUUUUAUACACCUACGUGACGUGAGCAUUCAAUAAUCAUCCUACACAUAUGUUGAUGUGAGCAUUCAAAAUCAUUAGAAUGAUUUAAUUGAAGACUCAACGUACGGACGUCUUUUUCACUUAGAUUCCCUUCCUGUACAAACUUGAAUCAGUUCCUCCACGACCCCAUCAAUCUCUUCAUCCUCUUUCUUGUUCACGUUGUCGCUUAUUUUCAAUGCCUUUUUUCUCACUCCCUCUCCAAAUUUCUCCACAACCACAUCUCUAAUCACCUUUGCGACCUCUUCUCUUUGCAAACUUCCUUCACCUGUUCUCUUAACCUCCACACCAACACCCACCUCCUCCACUAGUCUAGCGUUGAUCGGCUGGUCAAGAUGCAUAGGCAUGGCUAUAAUUGGAACACCAAACUUGAUGCUCUCCAACACUGAGUUCCAUCCGCAGUGACUCACAAACCCCCCAACACUAGAAUGCUGCAGUAUCUUUGCCUGUGGGGCCCAACCCUCCAUUAUCACUCCCUUCUCUCCCACCCUCUGUAAAAACCCUUCUGGUAACACCUCUUCAACCCUAGUACUUCUCUCCUCCUUAGAAAAUCUUAUAACCCAAAUGAAGCUCACUUUGCUAAGCUCUAAUCCGUGAGCUAUCUCUUCUAUUUGCUCCUUGGACAGAAAGUACUCACUGCCAAAGCAAACAUACACAACAGAAGACCUUUCCAUUUUGUUCAGCCAUUUCAUGAUCCAUGUUUCCUCAUCAACUUUUUGAUCCAUUGGCUCUUGAACAAGCGUGCCAACAGGCACGAUCUUCUUCCCCGUUAAAUCAGAGAGAUAAUCAAUAUAUUUUUCUUCAAUCUCGCUGGAUGUCUUGACCAAAAUGAUGUUACAAGAUCGAGCACUGCAUUGCUGAACACGGUCUCCGUCUUUGAUGCCAUUUGCUGAAGAUUCCAACAAAUUGUUGAACUUUUCAGCUUCGUAAUGUUGAAGAUAAAUCGAAGGAAAAGGAAACUUGACACUAGGGUUCUUGAGAUGUUGAAUACUAAAUGAAGUAAAGGCAGCACCCAUGGUGGUGAAUUCAAUGGAUGGAAAAUUUUGCAAUGAAGCUAGAGAGGGCGCCCAUGGUUGAAGAACAUCAUAUAUGAGCAAAUCUGGACUUAGGGUUUUGAGGAUGUUGGAGAAGUUGUUGCUGGACAUGCUGAAAGCCGUUUUGAGAGUGGACAUGAGAUGGGGAGGGAGGCCAUUGGUGGUGUGGUAGUGCGGUGGGAGUUCAGGCAAGUCAUCAUGUGGAAGAUGGAGUUCCACAAAUUCAAUGCAAUGAGAAUAUUUUUGGGAGAGUUUAGGCUUGAUGGAGCUGAGAUUUACAGGCGUGGAACAAAUAAAGAUGUGAAAAUUUCUCUUGGUGGUCAGCUUCUUGGCUAGCUCUAGGUAGGGAGAUAUAUGGCCGUGAGCUAGCCAUGGAAGCAAAAGAAUAGUAAGGCUUCUUUGGUCAGAGAAAACCAUAUUUUGUUUUCCUUUGACUUGUUUUCCUUUGACUCUUUUGCUUGAGGUUGCUCGAUUAUAGGCUUAUUGGUAGUUUGUUUGUGGCUAGCUCUAUGCAUAUAUAUAUAUAUAUAUAUAUAUAUAUAUAUAUAUAUAUACACACACAAAAACGCGUGAUGAUUGGAACAUGCACACGUAAGUUCCAGAGAGUGAUGAUUGGCCUAUGAUAAAGACUCGAAACAAGAAUAGUUUAAAUUUUCUUCUUUGUUUGGCUUGAUAUAAGACGAAUGCACCAAACAAACCGACUAAAUGCCGACACAAUAAUUAGGUACGUAAUAAUAUCAACUUUCAUUAUAUAGAUCUGAGAAACAAAAAGUUGAACUUUGAUGACAAGCGAUAUUAAGGAAGGGCACAAUCGAACUUAGGAUCUCGAAUGUUGAAGUACAUGCUCUUAACAACUUGAGCUAUAAGGUAUUUGUAAUGACAAUUUAUGGUUUUAAUUAUACUUUUGAAUAGUUGCUUCCUUCUCUUUCAUUUUUAUUUUUAUUUGUUUAUAUUUAACUCUAAUUUUAUUUAUAUUUCUGGUCAAGGUAUAAAGACUUUGAAUCUCUCUCCAAUUAUUUUUCACAGCCGAAACUCCUUUAGUUUCCACAAAUCUUUUUAAACAUUUCAGGCAUAUGUAUGUUUCCGAGUCGGAUGGUUCACGUAACCAAGAAAUUUAAACUUGUUUUUGUUUGUUCCUCCGAAGAAAGCACAACAAAAGGACAACCUACAACCAAUACUUCUCAUUGAAUUUGUUGCCGUGAAUGAUUAGGACUCUGCCCAAACUAGUAGUUGCGUUUCUGAAUUGUUUGAAAACACAUAUCAAAUUAUGAUUUCUCCUCCCCGAAAGAAAAAUUGACGUAGAAGUAUCAUGAUCUUGAUGACACAAAUUAGAAUCUAGGGUUUUCGAAGUGCCUAAUGGACAACUACUUAUUUAGAAAUAUAUAUAUUUUUGUGGCUAAAAUUUAAAUUUAUUAUAUAUAUUCUCAAUGCAGAAACACAUAAAUCUAAGUUCGAAUUCAUCCUUUUUUUGUUUUUUUUUUUUUGUUUUUUUAACCCAGAAGAAAAAUUGAGUCCCACUCUGCUGUGUAGAAUGCGCGUUUAGUAUAGAUUUUUUUAUUUUUGAGUCUCUUAUCUGGUUCCCGAGCUUCUACAUUUAGGUCUCGUGUAUUUAUCUGCAUUUUCUUAAAUCUAAAUCACUCAAACAAUCUAACCACUUAACAAAUGACACGUACUCAAACUUAAAAUCAGAAUGGAUGGAGUAGAGGCUUACACCGAUGAUUCUUGGUCAAGACUUGAGAGACAGAUGGAGACGAGGCAUGACAUAAAGUCUGAAGAAGAGAAACGAGGAAGCUUCAUUUAGAUGGUGGUGUAAGUGCAUACGUAAAGUCCAGAUUCAACAGGAAAGCAUCUUAAACGUAAAGAAAAUAAGUUUACCAGAAGCAAAAGAGAUACUGAAGUAAUUGUUUAUCAACUGAACUUAAACGAAAUAUUAACUCUUUGUUGUGCCAUAAGCACAAGAUCUUAUGAAAAAAAAUUCAAGAUAAACCAUAUAAUAUUGGGAGAUUCACGUUUAUACCGAAUAUAGGAAUUCAAAUUAUAAAAUAAAUAAAUAAAUAAAAUAAUCGAUAUGAAAUGGACUUUAGAAACACACACAAAGCCUAUUUACAACAUAACAAAAAGGUUUUUCCCUUCUUUUAAAUUACAAAACUGCCAUUGAUUUCUUAAAACAAACCCAACUCCAAAACCUCAUUAAAAAAGCACAAAACACUCAAUAGGGUGUCAAAGUAAUUUAAUAAUAAAAAAUAAAUUCAAUAAGGCCAAUUGAAUUUUUUGGAUUUUUUUUUGGGUUUGUUUAUAGAAAUUAAUGGUGUAGGGUUUAUCUAUAUUAUUGGUGUUAAGAAUGAAUAAUGACUAAAUAUCUCUAUAAUAUUUUCUAACUCACAAAAUAAUAUAGAAAAUAAAUGCAAGAACAAGAAAAUAGCAAUAUGCAAUUUAACGAAGCUGCUUACAAUCAGUGCAAAUGAGCAAACAAAUUCGCUAUUAAUUUAUGAAGUGUUUUUGUAUUUACAAUACCGCCUCUUGAAUGUCCACCAUACAAUAAUAUAGUUGCAUCAUUAAAAACUUUACUUGAAAAAUCGUUUGGGACAAAACUUAAGCUAAGAGAAAAAGAGUGCAACACAAAUGAUAUUGACAUCACAUAUGUCUCUCCUACAGAGUGAGCUUUGGUGAUGCUUGUAUAAAAAUUGCUUUCACAUCAUUAUUGGGAGAUGUAUGUAUGUCAUCAAUCAUUUGAAUCUUGUUGAGGUUAAAGUAAAACCAAAAAAAUAUCAAGGGCCAUUUUCAUAUAGUUUUUCACAAUAAAAAUUAACAAAAUAACUUCAUGUUCUUUAAUAUCAUCAAAAAAAUAAUAUAAACAAACUCAUAGUUUACCUUUUCAAUGAUAAGUGUUUGGAAAAUUUACAUGGAAUAAUAUUUGGUAUGCUAUGCUAGCAUCUCAUAAGCUCUUCAAGAGACCUAAAUUUUAUGAUAACUUCUUAAAAAAAUUUGAAUACUUUUCAACAAUAUUAAACUUGAAUUCAAACUCAUAAUUCAAUCAAAGUACUCAUUGAGGCAAUUUAGAUCAUUUUCAUUUUAAGAAAAUUGGGUGCAUACAUUGAGCUUCAUGCCCUUUACCUUCUUAGAGAUUUUCUUCGAGCAAUUUAUAUUGCAUGACAGAUUAUAUCUCUUAGAAUUUGUUCUUAUGUAUUCUUCAAGAGAUCUCUUCUUGCAAUAUGCUUCAAACACUUCAUAAUCUUUAUAGAUUUUUCAUGUAGAUUUAAGGUCUCCAUGAAUAUUGAGAUUGAAACAAGGAGUAAAAUAAAAGUUUAAGAAAAAUUUUCCCUGAUUAUUUUGUAAUUAUAAUGUUGGUGAAAACCUAAUUUCCUUUCUGAAAUUUGUGAAAUUUGUUAUUUGGCUAAGCUAAAAGUAUAAUAUUGACAAUAAAACGUAUACGAAAGUUUCUCUUUGGCUGGCUUCUUGGCUGGCUCUAGGAAGGGACAUUGCGGCCAUGAGAUAACCAUAGGAAGCAUAAUAAGAAUGCUUGGAUGCUCUGAACAAUCCAUUUUCUGACUCUUUUUCUUGAGGCGGUUGUUUUCUUAGGCCCAUCAGAGUUUAUGGUCGACAGAUAAGCUUCAAACACAUGCAUUGGUCGUGUCAGUUGCGAUAAACUCUUCCCAACAAUCUGAGACUCACAUCACUCCAAACACAUAAAAAGAAGUGGAAAUUUGCUAUUCUUUGUCUUUGUUUGGACAGCUAAUAGCAAAGCAUUGGAAACAUCGAAAAAAGAAAGUUAAUUAAUUUAAGAAAAACAAAGAAAUCCUUCUUUUUUUUUCUUUUUUUUUUCAGCAAACCGAAACAUAAAAUCCGAAAAAGAAGAAGGCAUGUCCAAAAUUACAUCUUGAAUUUAUUUUGGAGAUUCACUAUUAUACUCAAAUUAUAUAUGAAAUAAAUUUUAGAAACACACAUGACGCCAAUUUACAAUAUAACAAAAAAACUUUUAACUUCUUGUAAAUUACAAAAUUGUUAUCGAUUUCUUAAAACAAGCCUAAUCCUAAAACCUCAUAAAAAAAAAAUCAAAACACUCAAUAAGGCAUCAAAGUAAUUUAAUAAUUAAAAUUAAAUUUAAUAGGGUCAUCUGUCAUUUUUUGGAUUUUUUUCGAAGUUGUUUAUAAAAAUUAAAAUAAUGUAUAGUUUGUUUAUAAAAAUUAAAUGAUGUAGAGUUUCUUUAUAUAAUUAAUGUUAAUAAUGAGUAUAUGAAUAAAUGUCACUUUUCUUUAUUAACCAUUUAUAAUAUAUGAACUCAAGACUUCCUAUCGAACACCGAAUGGUCUUUCCAUUCCUUGUUAAUUCAAAGUCUGAAAAUGUUCGGUGUCAGCUCAUGAAUUUAAAGGCUUAAAGGCUCAAAACUUGAACGAAUAUGAAAGAAAAAAGUCGUUCACCGUUCAUCCUCUUCCUGCAGCUGUGCAUGCUAAUCACCCACUGAAUUAAACAUACAAAUACGCUUUAUGUUUUCUCAAAUUGUUCUUUGAACUAAGUAGAGGUUGGAAUACACUCGGGGUCAACAUUGUUCAAAUACAAAACACUUCUUAAUUUUAUAUUUUAUCAAAACAGAUCGAAACUUCAUUCAAACUGAGAACCUAGAUUACAAAACUACCAGAAAAACUGGAAUCUGCACUGUGGCCUCAUUAAAACCUUGCUUUAAAAAACUCCUAAAAGAGGAGAAUUCAGUCAAGAAAAAAGAGUACCACAGCAAGUGAAAUCCGAUAUCAUACUUCAUUCCUUUCUCAUACAAAGUUGAAUCAACUGCUCUACCACCCCAUCUAUCUCUUCAUCCUCUCUCUUUUUCAUGUUGUCUCUCAAUUCCAUUGCCUUUCUUUUCAAACCCUGUCCAUUUUCUUCCACCACCACAUCUCUGAUUACUUUUGCUAUCUCGUCCCUUUUCAGCCUCCCGUUCUCGUUGCCGCCUCCUCCCAUUCUCUUAACCUCCACACCAACUCCAACGUCCUCUACUAUUCUAGCGUUAAUAGGCUGGUCAAGAUGCAUAGGCAUGGCUACAAUUGGAACGCCAAACUUGAUGCUCUCCAACACUGAGCUCCAUCCACAGUGGCUCACAAACCCACCAGCACUAGAAUGCUUCAAUACUUUUGCCUGUGGAGCCCAACCAUCCACUAUUAUUCCCUUCUCCCCCACCCUCUCAAAAAACCCUUCUGGUAAUACCUCUUCAACCCUAGUACCUUUCUCUUCCUUAGGAAAUCUUAUAACCCAAAUAAAACUCACUUUGCUAAUCUCUAGCCCAUGAGCUAUCUCUUCUAUUUCCUCCUUGGAUAAAAAGUACUCACUGCCGAAGGAAACAUACACCACCGAAGAUCUUUCUCUAGUGUUUAGCCACUUCAUGAUUUUUGUUUCCUCCGAAUCCACUUCUUGCUCUAUAAGGUCUUGAACAAGUGAACCAACAGGCACAAUCUUCUUCCCAAUUAGAUCAGAGAGAUAAUCAAUAUAUUUUGCUUCAAUCUCUCUAGAACUCUUAACUAAUACGAUCUUACAAGAACGAUCGCUGCACUGCUUAGCACGGUCUCCAUCACUGAUGCCAUUUGAUGAAGAUUCUAACAACAUCUUGAUCUUACUAGUCUCGUAAUAGAUUGAAGGAAACGGAAAUUUGACACCAGGUUUCUCGCCAUGGUGGGUACAAACUGACAUCAUGGCAGCACUGGUUGUGAAGAACUCGAUGGCUGGAAUGUUUUGUAACAAAGCUAGAGAGGGUGCCCAUGGUUGAAGAAAAUCAUAAAUUAGCAAAUCCGGGUGUAGGGUUUUGAGGAUGUUGGAGAAGUUAGGGCUUGCCCUGUCGAAGGCGGUUUUGAGAGUGGACAUGAGGUGGGGUGGGAGGCCAUUGGUAGUGUGGUAAUGAGGUGGGAGUUCAGGCAAGUCGUCAUAUGGAAGAUGUAGUUGCACGAGUUCAAUGCAACGAGAGUAUUUUUCAGAGAGUUGUGGCUUGAUGGAUCUGAGAUUUACAGGUGUGGAACAAAAAUAGAUGUGAAAAUUUCUGUUGGUCAGCUUCUUUGCUAGCUCUAGGUAGGGAGAUAUGU
rnacentral:lncRNA from 1 species